UGAAGGCAUCUUCUCAGUUGAGGUCCUCUCCUCUCAGAUGACAGUACUUUAUGUCAGGUAGACGUAAGCCAACCAGCACAAGCACUGUCCUUCUGUUUUUUUUUUUUUCAAACUGCAUAACGGUUUAGAAGAGUUGACAUGAUAUGAAUGGAUUCACUUCUCAGAGCGUCUUGAAACACAGCAUCGGCUACAGUGACCAGGACUGGAAGGACUCGCUGCACAGCAGGGUCACGGACUGUGAACCAAGCCCUCAACACGAUGGCCUUUGGGAAAUACUCAAGAUCCAAACUACAGGGAGUGCCUAACUCCAUUUCCUCCUUGGCACUCUAUCAUCUCAUAUGUAGAACCACACAGAUGUCUGUUUUUACAAACUAAAGGGGAAAGCCUGUUGACAGACACAGCAGUGAUCGAGCUCCUUGAAGCCAGCCUAGAGGCUCACAGAAGAGUUAAACAUCCAAGGAACCAUAAUGACCAAAGACAAAGUUGAAAAAAAUAGCUUGACAGGCAGGCAGACUAGAAGCAGCAAGGAGGUUCUCUCAGGGAUUCUCAGGAAGGAAAAUGUACUGGGGGGGGGAUCAGCGACUUAGCGGGCGUCAGAAGGAAGACAGUAGCUAUGGCAGACACAGAAGGAACAACUAUGUCGUACAUAGGCUGUCACGAAUGAGACCUUAAGACUCACAGAGACAUGCGGAUGGACUUUCCUAAAGUCUAAAGACUGAGAUGGAUGGGCAUAAUAGAAAAUUAGAACUCUCUUGAUCUAUUUACUUCAGGAAUAAAAAGUCACCUGGA